CUUGACAUCCAGAGAACUUGGCAGAGAUGCCCUGGUGCCUUCGGGACCUCUGAGACAGGUGCUGCAUGGCUGUCGUCAGCUCGUGUUGUGAAAUGUUGGGUUAAGUCCGCAACGAGCGCAACCCCUAUCCUUUGUUGCCAGCGAUUCGGUCGGGAACUCAAAGGAGACUGCCGGUGAUAAACCGGAGGAAGGUGGGGAUGACGUCAAGUCAUCAUGGCCCUUACGAGUAGGGCUACACACGUGCUACAAUGGCGCAUACAAAGAGAAGCGACCUCGCGAGAGCAAGCGGACCUCAUAAAGUGCGUCGUAGUCCGGAUCGGAGUCUGCAACUCGACUCCGUGAAGUCGGAAUCGCUAGUAAUCGUAGAUCAGAAUGCUACGGUGAAUACGUUCCCGGGCCUUGUACACACCGCCCGUCACACCAUGGGAGUGGGUUGCAAAAGAAGUAGAUAGCUUAACCUUCGGGAGGGCGUUUACCACUUUGUGAUUCAUGACUGGGGUGAAGUCGUAACAAGGUAAGCGUAGACGU
rnacentral:rRNA from 1 species